CCGCCUCUUCCACUCUCCGUUUUGACCCGACUGUACGAAUUAGAUCCCCCUAGCAAAAAACACUCACUAAUGUUCUCCAUCCCCUCCAUUUGAUUUCUUGUAUCAAUUCUCUGUAAUCGUAUUAGUCUGAGCGUCGAUCGUGCGCCACCAUGGGGGAUUACAAUGAUGCCUUCAUGCGGAAUCAAAACGCGGCGGUUCAGGCUCGAACUAAGGCCCAGAAUCGUGCCAAUGUCCUUCAACUCAAACUGAUUGGGCAGAGUCAUCCCACUGGUCUUACGGCCAAUCUCCUGAAGCUCUUUGAGCCCCGACCACCUCUGGAGUUCAAACCUCCACCGGAGAAAAGAAAAUGUCCACCACUAACAGGGAUGGCCCAGUUUGUGAGUAAUUUUGUAGAACCUGAUGAUCCGGAAUAUGCUCCCCCUGUUCAAAAGGGUGAAACUCCAGCAGAAAGGAGGGCUAGAAUUCACUUGCUAAGAAUUGAAAAAGGUGCAGAGAAAGCUGCUGAGGAGCUGCCAAAAUAUCUUGAACGUGAUGAUCCAAAUGUUACUGGAGAUCCAUACAAGACACUCUUUGUGGCUAGACUGAAUUAUGAGACAACUGAGAGCAGAAUCAAAAGAGAGUUUGAGUCUUAUGGGCCAAUCAAGCGGG
rnacentral:misc_RNA from 1 species